AGAAAAGUAUUUAAAAAUAUAAAAUCUAACUUGCAAUUAGAAAUUGAUUCUUCCUUUUCUA
rnacentral:tRNA from 1 species